CCUACGGGAGGCAGCAGUGAGGAAUAUUGGUCAAUGGGCGCGAGCCUGAACCAGCCAAGCCGCGUGAAGGAUGAAUGCCCUCCGGGUUGUAAACUUCUUUUAUAAAGGAAUAAAGUGAGGCACGUGUGCCUUUUUGUAUGUACUUUAUGAUUCAGGAUCGGCUAACUCCGUGCCAGCAGCCGGGGUAAUACGGAGGUUCCGAGCGUUAUCCGGAUUUAUUGGGUUUAAAGGGAGCGUAGAUGGGUUGUUAAGUCAGUUGUGAAAGAUUGCGGCUCAACCGUAAAAUUGCAAUUGAUACUGGCAGCCUUGAGUACAGUUGAGGUAGGCGGAAUUCGUGGUGUAGCGGUGAAAUGCUUAGAUAUCACGAAGAACUCCGAUUGCGAAGGCAGCCUACUAAACUGCCACUGACAUUGAUGCUCGAAAGUGUGGGUAUCAAACAGGAUUAGAUACCCGGGUAGUC
rnacentral:rRNA from 1 species